UACGUAGGUGCAAGCGUUAUCCGGAUUUACUGGGUGUAAAGGGAGCGUAGACGGCGAUGCAAGCCAGAUGUGAAAGCCCGGGGCUCAACCCCGGGACUGCAUUUGGAACUGUAUAGCUAGAGUGUCGGAGAGGCAGGCGGAAUUCCUAGUGUAGCGGUGAAAUGCGUAGAUAUUAGGAGGAACACCAGUGGCGAAGGCGGCCUGCUGGACGAUGACUGACGUUGAGGCUCGAAAGCGUGGGGAGCAAACAGG
rnacentral:rRNA from 1 species